GGGAGCGGGGGUGAUGAUGAAGCUGAGCGCUGUGAUGAAGGUGAGCGCUGUAAUGAUGGUGUGAUGAUGAAGGUGAGCACUGUGGUGAUGAAGGUGUGAUGAUGAUGAAGGUGUGAUGAUGAUGAAGGUGUGAUGAUGAAGGUGAGCGCUGUGAUGAUGAUGGUGUGAUGAUGAUGAAGGUGACCGCUGUGAUGAAGGUGAGCGCUGUGAUGAUGAAGCUGAGCGCUGUGAUGAUGAAGGUGUGAUGAAGGUGAGCGCUGUGAUGAUGAAGAUGAGCGCUGUGAUGAAGGUGUGAUGAAGGUGAGCGAUGUGAUGGCACUCUGGUGUACAGCAGUGUGGCACAGAAAGUAUUUUAGGAUAGUUAUUCAGUUCACUCUUUUACCCAGAGGCACUCAAACUCACACACACCACAUACACACACACACACACAC
ensembl:lncRNA